CCUACGGGAGGCAGCAGUGGGGAAUAUUGCACAAUGGGGGAAACUCUGAUGCAGCGACGCCGCGUGAGUGAAGAAGUAUUUCGGUAUGUAAAGCUCUAUCAGUAGGGAAGAAAAUGACGGUACCUGAUUAAGAAGCCCCGGCUAACUACGUGCCAGCAGCCGCGGUAAUACGUAGGGGGCAAGCGUUAUCCGGAUUUACUGGGUGUAAAGGGAGCGUAGACGGCAGCGCAAGUCUGAAGUGAAAUGCCGGGGCUUAACCCCGGAACUGCUUUGGAAACUGUGCAGCUAGAGUGCAGGAGAGGUAGGUGGAAUUCCUAGGGUAGCGGUGAAAGGCGUAGAUAUUAGGAGGAACACCAGUGGCGAAGGCGGCUUACUGGACUUUAACUGACGUUGAGGCUCGAAAGCGUGGGGAGCAAACAGGAUUAGAUACCCCGGUAGUC
rnacentral:rRNA from 1 species